UGUGCAUGUGUGGACAGAUGUCCUGUUCAUGAGGAUCAGACACACAAACAUGAAUAAUAAUCAACAGGAUAUCUGUCCCAUAAUAUUAAACUCUAUUCUGACAUUAGUCCUUCUUGUUUUGGAUCCCAGAGCCCUGUUAGAACACAAACACCUGGACUCAGUGGGUCCACAGACUGU